rnacentral:rRNA from 1 species
CCUACGGGAGGCAGCAGUAGGGAAUCUUCCACAAUGGGCGAAAGCCUGAUGGAGCAACGCCGCGUGGGUGAAGAAGGUCUUCGGAUCGUAAAACCCUGUUGUUAGAGAAGAAAGUGCGUGAGAGUAACUGUUCACGUUUCGACGGUAUCUAACCAGAAAGCCACGUCUAACUACGUGCCAGCAGCCGCGGUAAUACGUAGGUGGCAAGCGUUAUCCGGAUUUAUUGGGGGUAAAGGGAGCGCAGGCGGUCUUUUAAGUCUGAUGGGAAAGCCUUCGGCUUAACCGGCGUAGUGCAUUGGAAACUGGGGGACUUGAGGGCAGAAGAGGAGAGGGGAAUGCCAUGUGUAGCGGUGAAAUGCGUAGAUAUAUGGAAGAACACCAGUGGCGAAAGCGGCUUUCUGGUCUGUAACUGACGCUGAGGUUCGAAAGCGUGGGUAGCAAACAGGAUUAGAUACCCGUGUAGUC